rnacentral:rRNA from 1 species
GAUGAACGCUGGCGGCGUGCCUAAUACAUGCAAGUCGAGCGAACGGACGAGAAGCUUGCUUCUCUGAGGUUAGCGGCGGACGGGUGAGUAACACGUGGAGAACCUACCUAUAAGACUGGGAUAACUUCGGGAAACCGUAGCUAAUACCGGAUAAUAUUUUGAACCGCAUGGUUCAAAAGUGAAAGACGGUCUUGCUGUAACUUAUAGAUGGAUCCGCGCUGCAUUAGCUAGUUGGUAAGGUAACGGCUUACCAAGGCAACGAUGCAUAGCCGACCUGAGAGGGUGAUCGGCCACACUGGAACUGAGACACGGUCCAGACUCCUACGGGAGGCAGCAGUAGGGAAUCUUCCGCAAUGGGCGAAAGCCUGACGGAGCAACGCCGCGUGAGUGAUGAAGGUCUUCGGAUCGUAAAACUCUGUUAUUAGGGAAGAACAUAUGUGUAAGUAACUGUGCACAUCUUGACGGUACCUAAUCAGAAAGCCACGGCUAACUACGUG